rnacentral:rRNA from 1 species
GUGACUAACCUACCUUUGAGUGGGGAAUAACUUCGGGAAACCGAGGCUAAUACCGCAUAACACCGAGAGGUCAAAGGAGCAAUCCGCUUAAAGAGGGGGUCGCGGCUGAUUAGCUAGUUGGUAAGGUAAUGGCUUACCAAGGCAAUGAUCAGUAUCCGGCCUGAGAGGGCGCACGGACACACUGGAACUGAAACACAGUCCAGACUCCUACGGGAGGCAGCAGUGGGGAAUUUUGCACAAUGGGGGAAACCCUGAUGCAGCAACGCCGCGUGGAGGGUGAAGCCCUUUGGGGCGUAAACUCCUUUCGAUCGGGACGAUUAUGACGGUACCGGAAGAAGAAGCACCGGCUAACUCUGUGCCAGCAGCCGCGGUAAUACAGAGGGUGCAAGCGUUGUUCGGAAUUAUUGGGCGUAAAGGGUGCGUAGGCGGUGCGGUAAGUCUUUUGUGAAAUCUCCGGGCUC